GUAGGGUCCGAGCGUUGUCCGGAAUUAUUGGGCGUAAAGGGCUCGUAGGCGGUUAGUCACGUCGGGAGUGAAAACUCAGGGCUCAACCCUGAGCGUGCUUCCGAUACGGGCUGACUAGAGGUAUGCAGGGGAGAACGGAAUUCCUGGUGUAGCGGUGGAAUGCGCAGAUAUCAGGAGGAACACCGGUGGCGAAGGCGGGUCUCUGGGCUGACACUGACGCUCAUGCACGAAAGCGUGGGGAGCAAACAGGAUUAGAUACCCUGGUAGUCCACGCCCCAAACGAUGUCGACUGGUUGUUGGGGGUUUGACACUCUCAGUAACGAAGCUAACGCGUGAAGUCGACCGCCUGGGGAGUACGGCCGCAAGGUUA
rnacentral:rRNA from 1 species